rnacentral:lncRNA from 1 species
AGAAAGAAAGGGCCGCGCAAAGGAAGGGAUGCGGGGUAGUUAAAAGGCUUGGCGCCAGGGAGGCUGGCGCCAAGGCUUGGCUCCAAGAUCUAUGGCGCCAAGCCUUGGCGCCACAUCAAAGGCCCGGCGCCACGUUGGAGGCCCGGUGCGGGGACCUUGGCGCCAUGGAGGCUGGCGCCAAGACGUUUUAGUUUGGCGCCAGCCAUCCUGGUGCCAAGCUAAGGGUCCAUUUUUGGAAUUGGUUUCGCCAGGGGUCUAUUUAUGAAAUUUUUUCACGAAAAGGGCCAAAAUAAAAAAAAAGUCGGUCCAUUAUAUGUAAUCUUGAACUAGCUACCAGCACCCCUAGGUAUUUGAUAGGUCAAGAGCCAAUAGAACAGUUUAACAUUUCAGAGUAGGCAAAUGAUUUCUGUCCCACUUGUGACCACCUCCUUUAUCCACAUGCACCAAUUUUCACAAAAACCCCUUUGAUUCAGACAAUCAAAAAGAAAUUAGGCCUUUUCAAAGUCUAAUUUUAGCACUACCCCAUCUUUAUUCUUUACCUUAGUAUCAUGCAGAAUUUCAUGGAGACUCCUCACCCCAUUUGUUAUAUUUCUGUCUUUUAUAAAGGCUGUUUGAUAUUUAUUUAUGAUCCUGCUCAUACACCCC